AACGAACGCUGGCGGCAUGCCUUACACAUGCAAGUCGAACGGCAGCACGGGUGCUUGCACCUGGUGGCGAGUGGCGAACGGGUGAGUAAUAUAUCGGAACGUGCCCUAGAGUGGGGGAUAACGUAGCGAAAGUUACGCUAAUACCGCAUACGAUCUACGGAUGAAAGUGGGGGAUCGCAAGACCUCAUGCUCCUGGAGCGGCCGAUAUCUGAUUAGCUAGUUGGUGGGGUAAAAGCCUACCAAGGCGACGAUCAGUAGCUGGUCUGAGAGGACGACCAGCCACACUGGGACUGAGACACGGCCCAGACUCCUACGGGAGGCAGCAGUGGGGAAUUUUGGGACAAUGGGGGCAACCCUGAUCCAGCAAUGCCGCGUGAGUGAAGAAGGCCUCGGGUUGUAAGACUCUUUGUCUAGGGAAGAAACGGUAGGGGGCGUAAGUAUCUCUGCUAAUGACGGUACCGU
rnacentral:rRNA from 1 species